rnacentral:rRNA from 1 species
AUCUUUUGAUUGUACAGCCCAAUGGAUAACCGUGGGAAUCUAGAGCUAAUACAUGCACACACAUUUGUGAAGCGUAAAACACUUCACAGGCAUUUAUUAGACAAAUACCAACAGUGGCUGAUGGCCCCGGUCAUCAGCUACAAGGUGAAUCUAGAUAACUUUGCUGAUCGCAUGGCCUUGGGCCGGCGACGCUUCAAUUGAAUUUCUGCCCUAUCAACUUGUUGGUAAGGUAUUGGCUUACCAAGGUUGCAACGGGUAACGGGGGAUCAGGGUUCGAUUCCGGAGAGGGAGCCUGAGAAAUGGCUACCACAUCCAAGGACGGCAGCAGGCGCGCAAAUUACCCAAUCCAGACAAUGGGAGGUGGUAACGAGAAAUACUAGUCAGUUUCCCAAAAGGAAGCUGAUCUGGAAUGGACGCAAUUUAAGCAAUUCGAUGAGUAACAACUGGAGGGCAAGCCUGGUGCCAGCAGCCGCGGUAAUUCCAGCUCCAGUAGUGUAUUUUAGCGUUGCUGCGUUUAAAACGCUCGUAGUUGGAUCACGCAGUGUGAAUCAGCCGAUCAGCAGAACUUCACAUUAAACCAACGCGAUGAGGGUCUACUCAGGGUUUCCUUGUUUAUAUUUUCACUUGUUGGCGUGUUGUAUGUUGAUUAAUUGUUGAUUCACACUACUUGUACGUGAGGAUGGCGGUUGACCUUUGAUGAGUUGACUGUUCGUGUCUCACGGAGUGUGCCUUGAAUAAAUCAUAGUGCUCAAAGCAGGUAUACGCUUGAAUGUUAAUAGCAUGGAACGAACAAUUGUGGAUAACGUGUGCUGCAUUACUGUAUUGAUGGAUUCGUUUGUCUCUAUAACUAAUGCAGUUCAUAACACCAACCACCAAUAACGGAUGUUGGUUUCCGUAUUGGGGUGAUGAUUAAAAGGACCGAUUGGGGGCAUUGGUAUUUGGCCGCGAGAGGUGAAAUUCUUGGACCGGCCAAGGACUAACAAAUGCGAAGGCAUUUGCCAAGAUCGUUUCCAUUAAUCAAGAACGACAGUCCGAGGUUCGAAGUCGAUCAGAUACCGACUUAGUUCGGACCGUAAACUAUGCCAACCCGAGACCAGUUUUGAGCUAAUUAAACGCUCGAGGUUGCUCUCCCUGGGAAACCUUAAGUUUUUAGGUUACGGGGGGAGUAUGGUUGCAAAGCUGAAACUUAAAGGAAUUGACGGAAGGGCACCACCAGGGGUGGAGCCUGCGGCUUAAUUUGACUCAACACGGGAAAACUCACCUGGUCCGGACAUCGAAAGGAUAUACAGACUGAUAGAUCUUUAUUGAUACGGUGGUUGGUGUACUGACC